GUCAGCAUGGCGUAGUGGUUUGAGCACCGGACUACAACUCUGGAGACCAGGGUUUGAUUCCCGCCUGGCCA